GAAAAAGCAAUGACAGGAACCAGUAGCAGAACGCUUUUCCUAAAGAGAGCCGGUGGGUGGUGGAAACCGGCGGAAAGCUUCUGUGAAUCCAUCCUUGAGCGGGUUGCUGAAAGCCGGGCGAGUAGGCAUCCACGGGAUAAAAACCCGUUAUCCUUACAAAGCGGAAAACUCUUGUUUUCAAUUUGGGUGGCAACGCGGGUUCACUCUCGUCCCUGUU
rnacentral:ncRNA from 1 species